UACGUAGGGUCCGAGCGUUGUCCGGAAUCAUUGGGCGUAAAGCGCGUGUAGGCGGUCCGGUAAGUCCGCCGUGAAAGUCGGGGGCUCAACCCUCGGAUGCCGGUGGAUACUGUCGGGCUUGAGUACGGAAGAGGCGAGUGGAAUUCCUGGUGUAGCGGUGAAAUGCGCAGAUAUCAGGAGGAGCACCAAUUGCGAAGGCAGCUCGCUGGGACGUUACUGACGCUGAGACGCGAAAGCGUGGGGAGCAAACAGG
rnacentral:rRNA from 1 species